rnacentral:lncRNA from 1 species
UGGCCUCAGCGAAGAUGGGCCGGGCAGGGACCAUGGCGGUGGCAGCAGAGGUGGCAGGGGCGGGGCGGCUGGCGGUAGAGGAGGCUGUGGUCCUCAGGGGGCUGUAGGUGGAGGUAUGGCUCGGGCCAGCAGCGGGAACGGCAGCGAGGAGGCCUGGGGGGCACUUCGGGCGCCGCAACAGCAGGUAUCCCAAUAGCUCCAAAACCUAUCACGACAGCCAUUUGUCUCUUUCCCCUUUCCUUGUCCCUUCCUUUUGGGGGUGGGGGAGGAACUCACGGAGCCAAAGGUACUGUGAAGUUCCUAAACAUGUCUCUUCCACUCUUUGUCUAAACUUUGUAACGUAGAUGCAGCUGACUUUGCCUGUAGCCUCAUAGAACCCAUCCCAUGGCUGCAGUGGAAGCUUGCGGUGGCUCUCCAGUGACCAGAGGCAUAGUGAGGUCCCAGGGAGGCUCCCUCUGUCUUGCAACAGUUAUUUGUGAUCUUUUUCUAUGUGCCUAUUGUCACAACAGAGUCCGGCAGCGUCUUCUCUUGAGGGAGCAAUUUGGAGAAGAGCUGGAACCCAGACUCGCGCCCUGGAUGCCAUCCUUUAUCAUCCACAGCAAUCCCAUCUGCCCUUCAGAUAUUUCAACACUCCUCUCAGCAUCCUCCACUUCCCCCAUCUCUCCAAGCUGAACUUGGUUCACAGGGUGGGAUUGUCUUCGAGAGCUGUGCCCAGGAGUGAACAACCAGCCCUACCUCUGUGAGAGUGGUCACUGCUGCGGGGAGACUGGCUGCUGCACCUACUACUAUGAGCUCUGGUGGUUCUGGCUGCUCUGGACUGUCCUCAUCCUCUUUAGCUGCUGUUGCGCCUUCCGCCACCGACGAGCUAAACUCAGGCUGCAACAACAGCAGCGGCAGCGUGAAAUCA